GACGAACGCUGGCGGCGUGCUUAACACAUGCAAGUCGAACGGAAAGGCCCCCACUUUUUUGGUGGGGGUGCUCGAGUGGCGAACGGGUGAGUAACACGUGGGUGAUCUGCCCUGUACUUCGGGAUAAGCUUGGGAAACUGGGUCUAAUACCGGAUAGGACCAUGGUUUAGUGUCUCAUGGUGGAAAGAUUAUUGUUUUGGUGCAGGAUGAGCUCGCGGCCUAUCAGCUUGUUGGUGGGGUAAUGGCCUACCAAGGCGUCGACGGGUAGCCGGCCUGAGAGGGUGGACGGCCACAUUGGGACUGAGAUACGGCCCAGACUCCUACGGGAGGCAGCAGUGGGGAAUAUUGCACAAUGGGCGCAAGCCUGAUGCAGCGACGCCGCGUGGGGGAUGACGGCCUUCGGGUUGUAAACUCCUUUCGUUAGGGACGAAGCCACACUUUUUUUGGGUGUGGUGACGGUACCUUUGUUAAGAAGCACCGGCUAACUACGUGCCAGCAGCCGCGGUAAUACGUAGGGUGCGAGCGUUGUCCGGAAUUACUGGGCGUAAAGAGCUCGUAGGUGGUUUGUUGCGUCGUCUGUGAAAUUCCGGGGCUUAACUUCGGGGUGGCGGGCGAUACGGGCAUAACUAGAGUGCUGUAGGGGAGACUGGAAUUCCUGGUGUAGCGGUGGAAUGCGCAGAUAUCAGGAGGAACACCGAUGGCGAAGGCAGGUCUCUGGGCAGUAACUGACGCUGAGGAGCGAAAGCAUGGGGAGCGAACAGGAUUAGAUACCCUGGUAGUCCAUGCUGUAAACGGUGGGCGUUAGGUGUGGGGACCGGUUUGGUUUCUGUGCCGUAGCUAACGCAUUAAGCGCCCCGCCUGGGGAGUACGGCCGCAAGGCUAAAACUCAAAGGAAUUGACGGGGGCCCGCACAAGCGGCGGAGCAUGUGGAUUAAUUCGAUGCAACGCGAAGAACCUUACCUGGGUUUGACAUGCACCAGACGGUUGUAGAGAUACGUACCUCCCUUUGUGGUUGGUGUGCAGGUGGUGCAUGGUUGUCGUCAGCUCGUGUCGUGAGAUGUUGGGUUAAGUCCCGCAACGAGCGCAACCCUUGUCUUAUGUUGCCAGCACUUUGGGUGGGGACUCAUGAGAGACUGCCGGGGUUAACUCGGAGGAAGGUGGGGAUGACGUCAAAUCAUCAUGCCCUUUAUGCCCAGGGCUUCACACAUGCUACAAUGGUUAGUACAACGCGCUGCAAGCCUGUGAGGGUGAGCGAAUCGCUGAAAGCUAAUCUCAGUUCGGAUUGGGGUCUGCAACUCGACCCCAUGAAGUCGGAGUCGCUAGUAAUCGCAGAUCAGCAAUGCUGCGGUGAAUACGUUCCCGGGCCU
rnacentral:rRNA from 1 species